CGUCGUAGUAGUCGUAGUAGUCGUCGUAGUAGUCAUCAUCGUAGUUGCCGUAGUCGCCGUAGUCGUCGUAGUCGUAGUAGUCGUAGUACUCGUAGUAGCCAUAGUACUCGUAGUCGUCGUCAUAGUCGUCGUAAUCAUCGUCGUCGUAGUCGUCGUAGUAGUCGUCGUCGUAGUCGUCGUACUCGUAGUCGUCGUACUCGUAGUCGUAGUCGUAGUCGUAGUCAUAGUCGUACUCGUAGUCGUAGUCGUAGUCGUAGUCGUCGUUGUAGUCGUCGUCGUAGUCAUUGUCGUAGUUGUAGUCGUAGUCGUCGUCGUUGUAGUCGUAGCCGUCGUCGUAGUCGUAGUCGUAGUCGUCGUCAUCGUAGUCGUCGUCGUCGUAGUCAUAGUCGUAGUCGUAGUCCUAGUCCUAGUCGUAGUCAUAGUCGUAGGAGUCGUAGUGGUAGCAGUAGCAGUAGCAGUAGCAGUAGCAGUAG
rnacentral:lncRNA from 1 species